rnacentral:rRNA from 1 species
UACGUAGGCAGCGAGCGUUGUUCGGAGUUACUGGGCGUAAAGAGUGCGUAGGCGGUUUUCUAAGUUUGGUGUGAAAUCUCCCGGCUUAACUGGGAGGGUGCGCCGAAAACUGGAAGGCUUGAGUAUGGGAGAGGUAAGCGGAAUUCCUGGUGUAGCGGUGAAAUGCGUAGAUAUCAGGAGGAACACUUGCGGUGUAGACGGCUUACUGGACCAUAACUGACGCUGAGGCACGAAAGCGUGGGCAGCAAACAGG